rnacentral:rRNA from 1 species
UACGAAGGGGGCUAGCGUUGCUCGGAAUCACUGGGCGUAAAGGGUGCGUAGGCGGGUUUUUAAGUCAGGGGUGAAAUCCUUGAGCUCAACUCCAGAACUGCCUUUGAUACUGAAGAUCUUGAGUUCGGGAGAGGUGAGUGGAACUGCGAGUGUAGAGGUGAAAUUCGUAGAUAUUCGCAAGAACACCAGUGGCGAAGGCGGCUCACUGGCCCGAUACUGACGCUGAGGCACGAAAGCGUGGGGAGCAAACAGG